CCUACGGGUGGCAGCAGUGGGGAAUAUUGCACAAUGGGGGAAAGCCUGAUGCAGCGACGCCGCGUGAAGGAAGAAGUAUUUCGGUAUGUAAACUUCUAUAGCAGGGAAGAAAAUGACGGUACCUGAUUAAGAAGCCCCGGCGAACUACGUGCCAGCAGCCGCGGUAAUACGUAGGGGGCAAGCGUUAUCCGGAUUUACUGGGUGUAAAGGGGGCGUAGGCGGUUCAGCAAGUCAGAAGUGAAAGCUCGGGGCUCAACUCCGGGACUGCUUUUGAAACUGGUGAACUAGAGUGCAGGAGAGGUAAGUGGAAUUCCUGGUGUAGCGGUGAAAUGCGUAGAUAUUAGGAAGAACACCAGUGGCGAAGGCAGCUUACUGGACUGUAAAUGACGCUGAGGCUCGAAAGCGUGGGGAGCGAACAGGAUUAGAUACCCCAGUAGUC
rnacentral:rRNA from 1 species